GACGUAGGGCGCGAGCGUUGUCCGGAUUGAUUGGGCGUAAAGAGCUCGUAGGCGGCUCGUUGCGUCGGCUGUGAAAACCCGCAGCUCAACUGUGGGCCUGCAGCUGAUACGGGCGGGCUGGAGUUCGGUAGGGGAGACUGGAAUUCCUGGUGUAGCGGUGAAAUGCGCAGAUAUCAGGAGGAACACCGGUGGCGAAGGCGGGUCUCUGGGCCGAUACUGACGCUGAGGAGCGAAAGCCAGGGGAGCAAACGGG
rnacentral:rRNA from 1 species